rnacentral:rRNA from 1 species
UUGAACGCUGGCGGCAGGCCUAACCCCUGCAAGUCGAGCGGAUGAAGGGAGCUUGCUCCUGGAUUCAGCGGCGGACGGGUGAGUUAUGCCUAGGAAUCUGCCUGGUAGUGGGGGAUAACGUCCGGAAACGGGCGCUAAUACCGCAUACGUCCUGAGGGAGAAAGUGGGGGAUCUUCGGACCUCACGCUAUCAGAUGAGCCUAGGUCGGAUUAGCUAGUUGGUGGGGUAAAGGCCUACCAAGGCGACGAUCCGUAACUGGUCUGAGAGGAUGAUCAGUCACACUGGAACUGAGACACGGUCCAGACUCCUACGGGAGGCAGCAGUGGGGAAUAUUGGACAAUGGGCGAAAGCCUGAUCCAGCCAUGCCGCGUGUGUGAAGAAGGUCUUCGGAUUGUAAAGCACUUUAAGUUGGGAGGAAGGGCAGUAAGUUAAUACCUUGCUGUUUUGACGUUACCAACAGAAUAAGCACCGGCUAACUUCGUG